GCCCAGAUGAUAAGUUAAACAUUUGGCGAAUGUAAAUAAAAAUGGGUGGAUGCUCCGCUCCAAACUGCUCGAACUCUACAACUAUUGGAAAGCAGCUAUUUCGCUUUCCGAAAGACCCCGUGCGCAUGAGAAAGUGGCUUGUAAACUGUCGGCGUGAUUUUGUACCGACUCCCUGCUCCAGACUGUGCCAGGCAAGUGAAAAGCAUGCGAGUAUUCAAUUCUGCAAAAGACAACAAUUAAGUCAUUCUUCUGGCUUCCUUUUGGUGUAAUCGUAUAUGUGUACUUUUGUCACAAAGCUUCAUUUCCAUGACUUGCAGGACCACUUUGAAGAAAGCCAGUUUGAGGAGAUCGCCAGAUCACCAGCAGGGGGAAGGAAACUCAAACCCAACGCAAUCCCCACACUGUUCAAUGUACCCGACCCUCCCUCUCCUGUCACCCCUCAAGUAGUGUUACCUAUUAAAAAUGAGCCAGUGGAAAAGGACUUAAACAUGGGGGACCAUGGAUAUGCCCGCCGACAGCCACCUGUGGAUUCAGAGGAGGAUGGGGUUCAGAGGACAGACGAGGAGCGACCCUGUUCUCUCUGCCAACAUUAUAAAACCAAACUGGAGCAACAACAGCAACACAAAGUCAGACUACAGAGAGAGGUAACAUUCAUU
rnacentral:lncRNA from 1 species